AGUUUGAUCAUGGCUCAGGAUGAACGCUAGCGGCAGGCUUAAUACAUGCAAGUCGAGGGGCAGCAUGUCCCGUAGCAAUACGGGAUGAUGGCGACCGGCAAACGGGUGCGGAACACGUACACAACCUUCCUUUAAGUGGGGAAUAGCCCAGAGAAAUUUGGAUUAAUACCCCGUAACAUUAUGAUGUGGCAUCACAUUAUAAUUAUAGCUCCGGCGCUUAAUGAUGGGUGUGCGGCUGAUUAGGUAGUUGGCGGGGUAAUGGCCCACCAAGCCUACGAUCAGUAACUGGUGUGAGAGCACGACCAGUCACACGGGCACUGAGACACGGGCCCGACUCCUACGGGAGGCAGCAGUAAGGAAUAUUGGGCAAUGGAGGCAACUCUGACCCAGCCAUGCCGCGUGGAGGAUGAAGGUCCUCUGGAUUGUAAACUUCUUUUAUAUGGGACGAAAAAGGGCCUUUCCAGGUCAACUGACGGUACCAUAUGAAUAAGCACCGGCUAACUCCGUGCCAGCAGCCGCGGUAAUACGGAGGGUGCAAGCGUUAUCCGGAUUCACUGGGUUUAAAGGGUGCGUAGGUGGGGUGGUAAGUCAGUGGUGAAAUCUCCGAGCUUAACUUGGAAACUGCCAUUGAUACUAUCAUUCUUGAAUAUUGUGGAGGUCAGCGGAAUAUGUCAUGUAGCGGUGAAAUGCUUAGAUAUGACAUAGAACACC
rnacentral:rRNA from 1 species